rnacentral:misc_RNA from 1 species
GGUUUGAUCAUGGCUCAGAUUGAACGCUGGCGGGAUGCUUUACACAUGCAAGUCGAACGGCAGCACGGACUUCGGUCUGGUGGCGAGUGGCGAACGGGUGAGUAAUGUAUCGGAACGUGCCUAGUAGCGGGGGGAUCUACGCGAAAGCGUAGCUUACUACCGCAUACCGCCCCUGGGGAAAGCGGGGACCUUCGGGCCUCGCACUAUUAGAGCGGCCGAUAUCGGAUUAGCUAGUUGGUGGGGUAACGGCUCACCAAGGCGACGAUCCAGGCUGGUUUGAGAGGACGACCAGCCACACUGGGACUGAGACACGGCCCAGACUCCUACGGGAGCAGCAGUGGGGAAUUUUGACAAUGGGGAAACCCUGAUCCAGCCCAUCCCCGCGUGCGAUGAAGGCCUUCGGGUUGUAAAGCACUUUUGGCAGUGAAAGAAACGGCACGGGAUAAUACCCCGUGCAACUGACGGUACCUGCAGAAUAAGCACCGGCUAACUACGUGCCAGCAGCCGCGGUAAUACGUAGGGUGCGGCGUUAAUCGGAAUUACUGGGCGUAAAAGCGUGCGCAGGCGGUUCGGAAAGAAAGAUGUGAAAUCCCAGAGCUUAACUUUGGAACUGCAUUUUUAACUACCGAGCUAGAGUGUGUGUCAGAGGGAGGUGGAAUUCCGCGUGUAGCAGUGAAAUGCGUAGAUAUGCGGAGGAACACCGAUGGCGAAGGCAGCCCCUGAUAACACUGACGCUCAUGCACGAAAGCGUGGGGAGCAAACAGGAUUAGAUACCCGGUAGUCCACGCCCUAAACGAUGUCAACUAGCUGUUGGGGCCUUCGGGCUCCGGUAGCGCAGCUAACGCGUGAAGUUGACCGCCUGGGGAGUACGGUCGCAGAUAAUC